UACGGAGGGUGCGAGCGUUGUCCGGAAUCAUUGGGCGUAAAGGGCGCGUAGGUGGCCCGGUCAGUCCGUGGUGAAAGCGCGGGGCUCAACCCUGCGUCGGCCAUGGAUACUGCCGCGGCUGGAGCACUGUAGAGGCAGGCGGAAUUCCGGGGUGUAGCGGUGGAAUGCGUAGAGAUCCGGAAGACACCGGUGGCGAGGCGGCCUGCUGGGCAGUGGGGAGG
rnacentral:rRNA from 1 species